rnacentral:rRNA from 1 species
CCCAGCAGCCCGCGGUAAUACGUAGGGCGCAAGCGUUGUCCGGAAUUAUUGGGCGUAAAGAGCUCGUAGGCGGUUUGUCGCGUCUGCUGUGAAAGCCCGGGGCUCAACCCCGGGUCUGCAGUGGGUACGGGCAGACUAGAGUGCAGUAGGGGAGACUGGAAUUCCUGGUGUAGCGGUGAAAUGCGCAGAUAUCAGGAGGAACACCGAUGGCGAAGGCAGGUCUCUGGGCUGUUACUGACGCUGAGGAGCGAAAGCAUGGGGAGCGAACAGGAUUAGAUACCCUGGUAGUCCAUGCCGUAAACGUUGGGCACUAGGUGUGGGGGACAUUCCACGUUUUCCGCGCCGUAGCUAACGCAUUAAGUGCCCCGCCUGGGGAGUACGGCCGCAAGGCUAAAACUCAAAGGAAUUGACGGGGGCCCGCACAAGCGGCGGAGCAUGCGGAUUAAUUCGAUGCAACGCGAAGAACCUUACCAAGGCUUGACAUUCACCGGACCGCCCCAGAGAUGGGGUUUCCCUUCGGGGCUGGUGGACAGGUGGUGCAUGGUUGUCGUCAGCUCGUGUCGUGAGAUGUUGGGUUAAGUCCCGCAACGAGCGCAACCCUCGUUCUAUGUUGCCAGCACGUGAUGGUGGGGACUCAUAGGAGACUGCCGGGGUCAACUCGGAGGAAGGUGGGGAUGACGUCAAAUCAUCAUGCCCCUUAUGUCUUGGGCUUCACGCAUGCUACAAUGGCCGGUACAAAGGGUUGCGAUACUGUGAGGUGGAGCUAAUCCCAAAAAGCCGGUCUCAGUUCGGAUUGAGGUCUGCAACUCGACCUCAUGAAGUCGGAGUCGCUAGUAAUCGCAGAUCAGCAACGCUGCGGUGAAUACGUUCCCGGGCCUUGUACACACCCCCCGUCAAUUCUCGCAAGGUGGCAGUAUAGUUUGAUCCCGGGUCUAGGAUAAGUCGUAACAAGGUAACCGUA